rnacentral:siRNA from 1 species
CAAAUGGGCUUCGAAUGGGCCU